rnacentral:lncRNA from 1 species
ACUUCCAUCACAACCCUUUGGUUAAGCAAGUCACUAAGGGCCCUGGAAAUGGGGGAUCUCCUGCCUUGACAGCUCAUCAGUACAUGUGAAAAGCCAACAAGAGUGGAUAUGAUAGGAACUGCAAUCACACAGCACUUUGGAGAGUGUGAAGAUUGGUGCUCACAGCAGAAGUUAACACACUGAUGCUGUGAUCACUGUUCAGUAAGUGGAAUGGUCCUUAGUGAUCCUUGAAGAGUAGCUGCAACUGGAAGACACAGAAUGGAGAGGAUGGAUCAUGCAAAUGAAAAGAUGGGCUCCAACAUUCAGCGGAAGGAACUUAUGGUUGGUUCCCCCGUUUUUUUGUUGGCGGUGGUGGUUUAUUUUCAUUCCCCAUGCCCGGUCCUUCUGAUGGCACUCACUGAUUUGGCUCUAGGGCACAAGUCUAUGUUGCAUGCAGUCCUGGUGUGACAAUCAAUUGAGGCAUUUCCUGGGCGAGGAGCUGGGACACGGGCCAAGCCAAUCAGACUCUGGUUCCCCCAGGACGCUGAGUCUUAGUGGAGCCAUGCCAAGAUGGAAACAGCUGACCUGCUGUGCUGCUGCCACGGCUCCCUGAGGAGUGUCCCUCAGUUCCUAAGAGGGGACUGUCUGCACGCUGGCUCUUACGGGUUGAUUUUGCACUUUUUCUUUGAUUCUGAGAGCUACCCACAUCCUCUCCAAUUCUUGCUCCAGUCAACCAGACACAGUUUCUAUUGCUUGCAGUGGAAGACAUGCCCAUGCAGAAGGCGUCAAGGCUCUUGGGAAGAUGGGGAGUGGCAUGUGUUCUCAUGGUGUUCACAGCUGCACGUGGGAAACACCUCAUUGCCUUUGCAUGACAAACCCAAGAGGGAGGGGGUUCCUUCCCCCAUUCUGCAAAUGGAAAAACUGAGGCUCAGAGGGGAAAUUGAUCGCUCAGUGUCAUAGCCAAUGAAUGACAGAGGGAAAGUUGUGGUCCAGGGCUGAGUCCGGGUUCCAUAGUGUAUAGAUGAAUUUCUUCAACCCCUUCAUCAUGUGAUGAGAGCCACAAGGUCUCCAGGCCUCCUGGACACGACAGGUGUUUGCUCACAAACUGAAACUUUCUCUGCUGGGUCACACCCUCCUUGCCCAUC